GACGAACGCUGGCGGCGUGCUUAACACAUGCAAGUCGAACGGAAAUGCCCUGCUUUUGUGGGGUGCUCGAGUGGCGAACGGGUGAGUAACAUGUGAGUAACCUGCCCUUGACUUUGGGAUAACUUCAUGAAACUGGGUCUAAUACUGGAUCGGAGCUCAUGCUUCAAGGUUGUAGUUGGAAAGUUUCGGCUGUUGGGGAUGUUCUCGCGGUUUAUCAGCUUGUUGGCGGGGAAGCGGUUUACCAAGGCUUGCCUGGGUGGCCGGCCUGGGAGGGGGACUGGCCACAUAGGGACUGAGAUAAGGGCCAGACUCCUACGGGGGGCAGAAGGGGGGAAUAAUGCACAAAGGGCGGAAGCCUGAGGCAGAAACGCCGCGUGCGGGAUGACGGCCUUCGGGUUGUAAACCGCUUUCGCCUGUGACGAAGCGUGAGUGACGGUAAUGGGUAAAGAAGCAACGGCUAACUACGUG
rnacentral:rRNA from 1 species